UGUCAAGGAUCCAAAUCAAUACUUUUCAAAUAAACUCCCCCUAUUUAAAUAUAAUUUUGCACUGAUAUAUUCCUUAAGGUGUGUUUUCAAGUGAUUAAAAAUUUGACUUGGUUCUUCUUAUAUACUUUCAUUUACUUUGUCUUUCAUUUUUAACUUUCUUAUGCUCUAUACUCUAUUUGCUCCCUAUCCGGUGGAGUUGGGAAGGGGCACGAGGUACUACC
rnacentral:lncRNA from 1 species